rnacentral:misc_RNA from 1 species
GAAAUGCGAUAAGUAAUGUGAAUUGCAGAAUUCAGUGAAUCAUCGAAUCUUUGAACGCACCUUGCGCUCCUUGGUAUUCCUUGGAGCAUGCCUGUUUGAGUAUCAUUAAAUCUUCAAAGUAAAUCUUUUGUUAACUCAAUUGGUUUCUCCUUUGGUAUUGGAGGUCUUUGCAGCUUCACACCUGCUCCUCUUUGUUCAUUAGCUGGAUCUCAGUGUUAUGCUUGGUUCCACUCGGCGUGAUAAGUUAUCUAUCGCUGAGGACACUGUAAAAGGUGGCCAAGGUAAAUGCAGAUGAACCGCUUCUAAUAGUCCAUUGACUUGGACAAUACUUUUAUGAUCUGAUCUCAAAUCAGGUAGGACUACCCGCUGAACUUAAGC